UCCUUGUUGGCUCAGAUGGUAAAGAAUCUGCCUGCAAUGUAGGAGACCCAGGUUCAAUCCCUGGAUCCGGAC
rnacentral:tRNA from 1 species